rnacentral:lncRNA from 1 species
UAUGCAUCCAUGUAUCAACCUGACUUUGACACCAGUUGAAGGAAAAAUCCGAUCAGGAUCGGAUUGUCAGGAUACAUCUGAAAAUUUUUCUAUUCAAAAGGUUAAUAUAACAUUUAUCUUUAUCUGAAACACAAUGGAAUAGGGAUCAAAAUCCCUAAGGAUUCCUUAAAUCUGAUGCCUCAUGAGGUUUGAACGCAAAGAUCCUCUACUUCGCGCGCAGGCCAGACUUCGUAGGAAAGAUGGAUGAAGCUCGAGGUGUUGAUCUCUCAGAAGGGUAGUAGGGAGAAGCCGUUAAGAUCAGAUCUCACAGCC